AGGAAGUGUGAGGAGGCUGGAAAGGACCCUGUGCUUAGCCAAAAUACCUGGAGAGCCAGAGAAAAUGGCGGGAUGUGAGAGGGGGAAAGGAUGGGGUCACACAAAGAAAAAGAGUUAGGCUUGACCUCUUUUCCACUCCAGGAAUGAGAUGUAAGCCAGGAGGCAAGCCUGAGGCCGAGAAGCCCCCAGGGAUGGCAGAGUCUCCUGCAGGACUGGAUGUGGCCAGGGCUGAGGUCAAGGCCCCGAGGGCAGCCGUGGGCAAGGUGGAUGGAAAUGAGACCAAGAGAAAAAAAUAAGUGGCUUCAUAACCUCACUUUAUCCAGAGAGUGGAAAAUAAAAUGCAAGAUUCCAAUCCCUGCCCUUCCAUUUCAUCUUUGAAAAAUACAGGUGAAUGUUUAUGAAUCAUUUUCAAAGUUGACCUAGUGUCUAUGGAAACAGAAAGUGACGAAGACAGCAGUGCUGAUCUGACGGAAAGAUUGUUUUCAUUUUCUUGCAAACAUCAUUAGGAUGGUAUUGUUUUCUUAUUUGUGAAUGUAAAAGUAUGUGACUUGAUUUUUUUUCUCUUGACAACAAAGAACGGCAAGGGUGUGGGGAGGUGGGUCCGACUGCCAGGCUAGUCUGGAUUUUGCCAGCAAUAUGACCAAUGACCAAUUCUUCCUGUAUUUGAACUCCUCUGGGAGAUUCUUCCCUGGAGAAGGAAAUGGCAACCCACUCCAGAGUUCUUGCCUGGAGAAUCCUACGGACGGAGAAGCCUGGUAGGCUGCAGUCCGUGGGGUCGCACAGAGUCGGACAUGACUGAAGCGACUUGGCGGCAGUGGCGGCGGCGGCGGCGGGAGAUUCUUCCCAGUCCUUGCCUCUUCCCAGUCACCCACAGUGAAUGUCUGGCCAUCUGAGGGCCACCUGGCCUGAACGCUGUGUUACACUAGUUUGGCAAGAUAUGCCACCCUUGCUUCUGUGGUAAUUGGCAUUGCGAAGAAGAGCUGUUUGCUGCAUUAUUCUGCAGGAUGAAACACUGGCAGUGUACAAAUCUGCGUGCUAGGGAGGUAUGAGACUACAGCCCUAAGUCACAGGUGACCAGUCAGCCUAUCUGACUCUCCACCCAAGUCUCCUGGGCUUCCGACUCUAUGAACCUCUGGUAAUGAGAGCAGAGGGGAGCCACGUGCCCCAGCAGUGUUCUCCUGUCGUCUGCCACACCUUCCCUGCUUCCUCUGGCCCUCUAGGAUGUCAUCCUCAUCUGGUUUUCAUCCUACCCAACCCCUGUGCUUGCUGCUCCUGCUCUGCUU
rnacentral:lncRNA from 1 species